rnacentral:rRNA from 1 species
GGUCAAGUGAAGAAGCGCAUACGGUGGAUGCCUUGGCAGUCAGAGGCGAUGAAAGACGUGGUAGCCUGCGAAAAGCUUCGGGGAGUCGGCAAACAGACUUUGAUCCGGAGAUCUCUGAAUGGGGGAACCCACCUAGGAUAACCUAGGUAUCUUGUACUGAAUCCAUAGGUGCAAGAGGCGAACCAGGGGAACUGAAACAUCUAAGUACCCUGAGGAAAAGAAAUCAACCGAGAUUCCCUUAGUAGUGGCGAGCGAACGGGGAUUAGCCCUUAAGCUUCAUUGAUUUUAGCGGAACGCUCUGGAAAGUGCGGCCAUAGUGGGUGAUAGCCCCGUACGCGAAAGGAUCUUUGAAGUGAAAUCGAGUAGGACGGAGCACGAGAAACUUUGUCUGAACAUGGGGGGACCAUCCUCCAAGGCUAAAUACUACUGACUGACCGAUAGUGAACCAGUACCGUGAGGGAAAGGCGAAAAGAACCCCGGAGAGGGGAGUGAAAUAGAACCUGAAACCGUAUGCGUACAAGCAGUGGGAGCCUACUUGUUAGGUGACUGCGUACCUUUUGUAUAAUGGGUCAGCGACUUAUAUUCAGUGGCAAGCUUAACCGUAUAGGGUAGGCGUAGCGAAAGCGAGUCUUAAUAGGGCGUUUAGUCGCUGGGUAUAGACCCGAAACCGGGCGAUCUAUCCAUGAGCAGGUUGAAGGUUAGGUAACACUGACUGGAGGACCGAACCCACUCCCGUUGAAAAGGUAGGGGAUGACUUGUGGAUCGGAGUGAAAGGCUAAUCAAGCUCGGAGAUAGCUGGUUCUCCUCGAAAGCUAUUUAGGUAGCGCCUCAUGUAUCACUCUGGGGGGUAGAGCACUGUUUCGGCUAGGGGGUCAUCCCGACUUACCAAACCGAUGCAAACUCCGAAUACCCAGAAGUGCCGAGCAUGGGAGACACACGGCGGGUGCUAACGUCCGUCGUGAAAAGGGAAACAACCCAGACCGCCAGCUAAGGUCCCAAAGUUGUGGUUAAGUGGUAAACGAUGUGGGAAGGCUUAGACAGCUAGGAGGUUGGCUUAGAAGCAGCCACCCUUUAAAGAAAGCGUAAUAGCUCACUAGUCGAGUCGGCCUGCGCGGAAGAUGUAACGGGGCUCAAACCACACACCGAAGCUGCGGGUGUCACGUAAGUGACGCGGUAGAGGAGCGUUCUGUAAGCCUGUGAAGGUGAGUUGAGAAGCUUGCUGGAGGUAUCAGAAGUGCGAAUGCUGACAUGAGUAACGACAAUGGGUGUGAAAAACACCCACGCCGAAAGACCAAGGGUUCCUGCGCAACGUUAAUCGACGCAGGGUUAGUCGGUUCCUAAGGCGAGGCUGAAAAGCGUAGUCGAUGGGAAACAGGUUAAUAUUCCUGUACUUCUGGUUACUGCGAUGGAGGGACGGAGAAGGCUAGGCCAGCUUGGCGUUGGUUGUCCAAGUUUAAGGUGGUAGGCUGAAAUCUUAGGUAAAUCCGGGGUUUCAAGGCCGAGAGCUGAUGACGAGUCGUCUUUUAGAUGACGAAGUGGUUGAUGCCAUGCUUCCAAGAAAAGCUUCUAAGCUUCAGGUAACCAGGAACCGUACCCCAAACCGACACAGGUGGUCGGGUAGAGAAUACCAAGGCGCUUGAGAGAACUCGGGUGAAGGAACUAGGCAAAAUGGCACCGUAACUUCGGGAGAAGGUGCGCCGGCUAGGGUGAAGGAUUUACUCCGUAAGCUCUGGCUGGUCGAAGAUACCAGGCCGCUGCGACUGUUUAUUAAAAACACAGCACUCUGCAAACACGAAAGUGGACGUAUAGGGUGUGACGCCUGCCCGGUGCCGGAAGGUUAAUUGAUGGGGUUAGCGCAAGCGAAGCUCUUGAUCGAAGCCCCGGUAAACGGCGGCCGUAACUAUAACGGUCCUAAGGUAGCGAAAUUCCUUGUCGGGUAAGUUCCGACCUGCACGAAUGGCGUAACGAUGGCGGCGCUGUCUCCACCCGAGACUCAGUGAAAUUGAAAUCGCUGUGAAGAUGCAGUGUAUCCGCGGCUAGACGGAAAGACCCCGUGAACCUUUACUGUAGCUUUGCACUGGACUUUGAGCCUGCUUGUGUAGGAUAGGUGGGAGGCUUUGAAGCGUGGACGCCAGUUCGCGUGGAGCCAUCCUUGAAAUACCACCCUGGCAUGCUUGAGGUUCUAACUCUGGUCCGUGAUCCGGAUCGAGGACAGUGUAUGGUGGGCAGUUUGACUGGGGCGGUCUCCUCCUAAAGAGUAACGGAGGAGUACGAAGGUGCGCUCAGACCGGUCGGAAAUCGGUCGUAGAGUAUAAAGGCAAAAGCGCGCUUGACUGCGAGACAGACACGUCGAGCAGGUACGAAAGUAGGUCUUAGUGAUCCGGUGGUUCUGUAUGGAAGGGCCAUCGCUCAACGGAUAAAAGGUACUCCGGGGAUAACAGGCUGAUACCGCCCAAGAGUUCAUAUCGACGGCGGUGUUUGGCACCUCGAUGUCGGCUCAUCACAUCCUGGGGCUGAAGCCGGUCCCAAGGGUAUGGCUGUUCGCCAUUUAAAGUGGUACGCGAGCUGGGUUUAGAACGUCGUGAGACAGUUCGGUCCCUAUCUGCCGUGGACGUUUGAGAUUUGAGAGGGGCUGCUCCUAGUACGAGAGGACCGGAGUGGACGAACCUCUGGUGUUCCGGUUGUCACGCCAGUGGCAUUGCCGGGUAGCUAUGUUCGGAAAAGAUAACCGCUGAAAGCAUCUAAGCGGGAAACUUGCCUCAAGAUGAGAUCUCACU